UCAUCAACUGUGCAGCAGCAGGCUCAGAGGAGACCGGUUUCUGGUUCCUCUUCCACCAUGUGCCUACGGGAGCCUCUGAGGGCAUGUACUCUCCUGGCCGCUCCGAACACACACCUAUGGGCCAGUUCACCAACAAUAGGGCCCACUCCAACUACAGGGCUGGGAUGAUCCUAGACAACGGUGUAAAGACGACACAGGCCAACGACAAGGACAAGAGACCCUUCCUUUCUCUAGUGGGAGCAAG